rnacentral:tRNA from 3 species
AGGCGUGAAUUGGUAACAAAAAGAGUCCUUACAAGGCGGAGGUCCUGGGUUCAAAUCCCAGCGGGCCCA